rnacentral:lncRNA from 1 species
GAGAUCGGUUUCGUAAAUCUCUGCUCUCCACCUGCAACAUGGAUGUUUUUCAUUUGGGAAAAUAUCUUGGGUUCUGGCAGUGCUAGGCUUUCUUCUGUUUAGGGCUUUGGCCCUCCCUCUUUUGUACCAAAAAAGAGACAACUUAGCCCCGCAAUUCUUGAAGCCCGCAAAGAAAAUUCUGAAUUUUGUUGGUCAAUCGAUCAUUAUCUUUGACUUCAUUUAAUCCCAGACCCAAGAAAAAAAAACCCUUCAUCUAAUCAGUGAUAGGAAUUUUUUACUGGAAGAUCUCGCCAUUGCUGAAAACUCAAUUGUGCUUUCGACAGCCUGGGGGGUGGCCCCAAUCAGAUGGAGUUUUGCGUUCUCAUGUUCAGAUUGAGCCUCGAUUUGAUGGAGCGGUCUCAGUUUUUUUUAUUUUUUAGAGGCGGGUCUUCGGCAGGAAUUGAAGGUUGUUAUUGAUCUCAAUUUGUUUUUUCUUUUUUCCGUUUUUCCUUUAUUGUGUUAAUUCGAAUACCAGAUGUUUGUGUGAUGUGUGUUCAAAGCAUAGAGGAAAUGAAAGUAAAAAAAGAAAAGAAAUGGGUUCUUAAUUUUCAUAGCAUGCCUUGUAAUAAGUAUUUGAGGUCAACUGGGUGUGAUGUGAUAUACGUUUCUCCCCCUGGUUUUAUAAGAAAAAGUAAUAAAUAAAAACUAAUCUUCUGCCUUUUCUAGACUUGCGAAACCUUUGUUCUAACUUGACCAAAAUUGGUAAAUGAAUCAGUUUUGUAACUUGUUAUGUCCAAAAAUGGAAGGUUGGCUAGUAUAGUUGAAUCAUUUCAAGAAACUAGGAUGAAGGAGGGAUUUGAUCACUCGAGUCUUGUUGAGCUAAAUAUUGUAGAAAUUCCUAUUUCCUCAUAGCCAAGUUGGGUCCUACCAAAUGGAGAAAAGGGCAUGAUGGACUGACUAGAAAUGCAGGUUGAAGAUCUCACUAACCUGUUCAGGUUUUUCAUGCUGAUGAUGCCAACCUGGUAAUUGGUAUUAUCUGUUUCCCUCCCUUAUCAGUUAUCAUGCAAUUGAUGUUCAGUAUUGGGUGAGAUCUGCUAAUGAGACUGCUCAGAAUAUUCGAUGCAAUGGCUUGCUUAGUGGAAAAGAACUUGGAGAAACAAGUUCCACGGAGGAAAUGAGAUCUUUUCUUAUCUUAUGCUAUGUAUACAGGAAGAACCUCUUCUCAUAUAAUUCAAUUUUUGAGGAUGUGUAUACUGUUACUAUUCUAGAAUUGCCCCUCUAAAAUGGUUUUAAUAAUUUACAGCUCUUUGCUUUUGAGUAACUAUGAGGGAAAUUACGUUUAUGCACAUACUCUAGUGAGUCCCAUUUUAUGGAGAAUCUGGAAGUGCAGGAAUGACCUUAUUUCGAUUAUAAGAAAACGACGUAUAAGUACUUCAGUUUCCUUUCAUUUCCUUUCCUUUCUCUUGACAAAUACAAGAUCCAAACAUAGCAUUAGGGAGAUUCAUUUUUUAUUUUUCACAUUUGGUAAGAGGGGAAUAAAUGAAGGGGAAGCUUCAUGUAGCAGAGGUAAGACUCGAACCCACACAUCAAAUCUAGUAAGGGAGCGCUUCAUCCACCCAGUUGAUACAGAAUAUGGUCUGAAUAUCAUUAAAUAUAUAGUCUCUGUUUGUUGAUUAUGUUUGAAGACUUCUUUUUCGGCAUAAUGUUUGAAGACUUUUUUUUUUUGGCAUAAUGUUUCAAGAAUUUUUACCAUCUGCAUUUUUUAUCUGGACAAAUCGCCUAGUAUUUUGAUCCAUAAACUAUUUCCCCUUGAAGUGUAAUGUCAAGGUUUGCCUCUUUCUGGCCAAAGAUGGGGAGAAAUUGAUGCCAUACAAAAUCUACAGCAAAAACAGUUAUUUUGUGGAUCUUACAACUAUCCAGUAACUUAUGGUCUGUAAUUCCAAAGGUUGUAGCGGAAAUUGAAUGGGGUAAAUGUUUGUGAUUACCAAUAUGUGAAUCAUGAGGAUGCUAGCCUUUGAAUGGUCAAGGCAAUGCAGUAAAUUGCCUUUUUUUGAUUGAAAAAGCUUUUGCAGAAGAUGUGAAGGUCCAACAUAUAAAUAACACUUGUUAGAGAGGAUCGAGGAGUCUAACCUAAAAUCAAUUGGCAAUAGGUGGAGUCUUGGAGUAGCCUUUAGAUUAUGUACACUAAGCUUAGGUGAUUUAAGUAAGCGAUGUGGGAAUCACACUUCUAACACUCCCUUGCACGUACAUCCCAGAUGCACGUGAAGGUGACGACAAUAGUGGAAUCAACGACGACAACAAAAACAACUCGGACGAAGACUUGCCCUACGCGAGAAUCACCCGAGGCCUAGCUCUCAUACAGUCAUACUAUGUGAAAGUGUUAACCACCAACUCAUCUAAAAGUUUAAGCUAUUAGAGAGAGAGACAACUUUAUUAUUUGUAAUAUUCUCAGCACACUUCCUCACGUGUAGCCGGGCUUCCUUCAUAAAUGGGCCAAACACGUGCAAGUAUUUAAUUAGGUAGACAGUGAAGUUUGAACACAAUCUAUACCUGCUUUGAUAACAUAUUAGAGAGGAUCGACGGGUCCAACCUAAAAUCAAUUGGCAAUAGGUGAAGUAGCCUUUAAGUUAUAUACACUAAACUUGCGUGACUUAAGUAAACAAUGUUAGACUAAAACUUCUAGUAGCACUAAAUUGGCAUUUUUGUGCAAGGUAAUUAACUGUGCUCUUCGACUUUACAGGAUCUCAACAAGCUAUCAAGAUGCCAACGUAGGAGAAGCCUUCCAUCGAGCUUCUACCUCUGUGAUUGUGACUUCAUCGGCUGACCAUGCUUCCUGCUUGCUUCCUGAUGAAUUUGCUUCCAACGGACUCGUCUAUAUUUGCCGUUGCCUCGGUAAGGGUGGGUUGGAUGAAACUUCUAUCUAGCUUCCAGUACUGUUAUUGUUGCUGCAUCAUCUGUACAAAAUUUAUCACUUGUUGACAUAGUAGCGUUAUCAACGGAACUUCUUUCGAAGAAGAAACCAGGUUGCUUAGGCUGAGGCAACACUGCUCCCUCGUUUCCCAACAUGAAUACUAGAGAUGAUAUUGCAGGCCUAUCUUCUGAGAGUUUCUGAACACAUAAUAAGCCCACUUGAAUACAUCUCUGGACUUGGGAUUCAACACAUGAAUCCUUCAAACAUGUAUCCAUUAGUUCCACAGUCCUGCCUUCAUUCCACUGCAGCCAUGCCUAAAGUAAUUGUAGACCAUGCAUUUUCAAUUUUUCUUGGCGUGUAUAUUUUAUUUUUAUAAAGAGAGAAGAACUUACAUGCCCCAGAAGGGUGUGGUGAUGAUCCGGAGGAUGGAAACCUCGUUUCCUUUUACCACUAACUAUCUCUAGCAAAAGCACACCCGAACUGAAUACAUCAGACUUCACUGAGAAUUUCCCAUCCAUGGCAUAUUCUGGAGACAUAUAGCCAUUGCAAGAUUUUGUCAACCAUAAAAUCUUUUAAAUGAUAAGAAGAAAAUUUUCUUUCUUGAGUUAAAGAAUUUUACUAUGUUCCAAUGAUUCUUUUUGUUUUUGCAGAAAUUUGUUUGCCUUCAAUAAUUCAUGCUAAUCCAAAGUCCGAAAUUUUAGGAACCAAGUCACUGUCUAGUCAAAUAUUGCUUGCAUUGAGAUCCCUGUGAAUUAUUCUUAAUCUGGAAUCUUGGUGGAGAUAAAGAAGUCCCCGUGCAAUCCCCAUAAUAACGUCAAACCGCUUUUGCCAAGCCAAUAAUGCCUUCCUGGUCUGUUCUGCACAUCAGUUCUACCCUUUGUGAAUUUCAAGAUUAAAUCUUUUUUCCUUCUCUUUUCUACUCAAGAUCAAGUGGAAAACUAAUGGGAAAGGAUAAUGUAAGAUGGUAAGCAUAUAGUAAAUGAUAUGCUGGUGACGGAACUAAUGAUACAUGAAUGAAAUAACUUAUGAUAGAGAUUGAAACCAUAAAUAAAAUAAUUCAAGCUUUUGUUGCACAUGUACUCGUAGAUUAACAUCCUUUCUUCUCCUUCGAUGCAGCAUCCCAGAACCUUGACAAGGUUCCUGUGUUGAAGUUUGGUAAUUGAGGCAACUUUGUUCUUAAACUCUUCUAGACCUUGUCCUGAAUUCUUCGACAGUUUUUUCACUGCUAUUUCUUGUUCCGUCGACAAUCUUCCUUGUAGGUGUCAUAAAUAAGUUGCAUAAAUCCUAUUUUUUACCUUGUAAACAGGACCAAAGCCCCCUUCUCCAAUCAUAUGUUCGCAAGAGAAGUUGCUUGUAGCAUAUGCAUUAUUGUCAAAUCCAAAUAAGGUAUUCCAAGUUUCUUUCUUCUUCUUUACUUUUAGGCCUCUUUUUGUUUAUUUCAUCUUCAUAAUUAGCAACCACCUAUUGAGACAAGGUCAGCAUUCCUUAAGUGGCUGAUAGGAGUAAGAUCUUCAAGGAUCUUUUUCUUCUAGUAUUUGAACUUUUAAUUGAUUCUGUAUGACUGUACUAUAGAACACUAGAAUUUCGUUUUAGUAGUUUGUACUUACUAAAUUCUUUUUUUUUUUCUCUUCAAAACAUGCACUUACCCAUUACCGAAGCUGCCAAGCUAUGUAGAAAUCUAUCCUGCUACUAUCUCCUUGGAUACCUCUCUUGUAUCAAUCAGAUCCCCAAACCACAUUGAACAUCCCUGGGCCGUCACUCUGUUUGAAGUGGCAUAUGCUAUGCAAGAAUACAUCUUCAAGCACUCCUGCUUGCAUUCCUUGAGGCUCACACUAGUGUUUUACCGAAACUCCAAGAGGUCCGGCAACUUGACCUGUGCAACCUUCACAAAC